CUUGCUCCUUGGGUGACGAGUGGCGGACGGGUGAGUAAUGCCUGGGAAACUGCCCGAUGGAGGGGGAUAACUACUGGAAACGGUAGCUAAUACCGCAUAACGUCUUCGGACCAAAGUGGGGGACCUUCGGGCCUCACACCAUCGGAUGUGCCCAGGUGGGAUUAGCUAGUAGGUGGGGUAAUGGCUCACCUAGGCGACGAUCCCUAGCUGGUCUGAGAGGAUGACCAGCCACACUGGAACUGAGACACGGUCCAGACUCCUACGGGAGGCAGCAGUGGGGAAUAUUGCACAAUGGGCGCAAGCCUGAUGCAGCCAUGCCGCGUGUAUGAAGAAGGCCUUCGGGUUGUAAAGUACUUUCAGUGGGGAGGAAGGCGAUGAGGUUAAUAGCCUCGUCGAUUGACGUUACCCGCAGAAGAAGCACCGGCUAACUCCGUGCCAGCAGCCGCGGUAAUACGGAGGGUGCAAGCGUUAAUCGGAAUUACUGGGCGUAAAGCGCACGCAGGCGGUCUGUCAAGUCGGAUGUGAAAUCCCCGGGCUCAACCUGGGAACUGCAUUCGAAACUGGCAGACUAGAGUCUUGUAGAGGGGGGUAGAAUUCCAGGUGUAGCGGUGAAAUGCGUAGAGAUCUGGAGGAAUACCGGUGGCGAAGGCGGCCCCCUGGACAAAGACUGACGCUCAGGUGCGAAGCGUGGGGAG
rnacentral:rRNA from 1 species